GGUCAGAUAGUCUAGUGGCAAAGGACGAUUUGGUAGAAUAUUCGGUGGUUUUCUUAUAAACAAUACGAAGAUCAUCGAACACCAAAUAGGCGGGGGUUCAAUUCCCUCUCUGGCCA